rnacentral:lncRNA from 1 species
CUCGUCCCACCACCGGCUCGCCAGCUUCUAGCUACCUAGCUAGGGUUAACUCCUUCUUCUUCUUGGCCUCCGAUGGAUGGAUCCCUUGAAUUAAUUGAUGAUUAGGAUAUUAGCUUUGAGCUAUAGCCGCCGCCAUAGCUAUCGAUCUGCCUGCCUGCAGCUACUUCUUGCUCACUGCAUCAUAUGUAUUUGAUUGAUUAGCUAGCUGAAUUAUUUUUUUCCCUGAAAGAUCUAUCUAUCUAUUGAAAGAUCGAUGCAGACAGUGCAGUCGAUUGAUCGAGCACCUUGUCAACUAUGAUCUGCGCGGGCGGAGAAAUUAAGAUGAAAUUCGAGUAUGUGAAUAUGUAUGGUAUCAUUUGGAUGCAAGAAAAAUGGGGAACAAUCACGCAUGAAAUUAAUUAAUUAAGCUGUACCUUGCGUUUCAGUCGGGGGAUUAUUGGUAUGAUAUGAUGGAGUAUGUAGCAGCAAGAUGAUUUGAAGGCCUCGACCACUAUAUAUCAGCUGCAGCUGCAGCUGCCUGCAGGGUCUCAACAAGCAAGCUCGCUCUUGCUCGAUCGAUUUCCUCUUGAGUGAUCGAUUGAUUUUGCUGCUCCGAUCCGAUCCGCUUUAAUUUUUCAUCUGGUAUAUAAU